CAAAAUGGCGGUGCGAGCCGUUAUACUCUCUAUUAGAAUUUCAUCGUUCAUUUUCUCGACAGAAACGAGAUCCUUUUUUUGUAAAGUUUUCGGUACGGUUUUAUAUUGGUGCCAUAUUAAUGAAAAUAGUAUCAAUCGAAAGAUCUCCGAGAACUCCAAAAAAGACUGCAUUUCUGGUAGACUUCAAAUUAUAUUUUCUUCACACUAAAACCGGUGCUCGCCUCCAUUUUGAAAUCGUUUUUGGAAUGAUUUAGUACAACGGAAUUGUCUUGUCGAUUCGUGUUUUAAUUAUCAAUCGGUGGACGACGCACCUUUAUUCAUUUUUUUUUUUUUUUUUAAUAAAUCUUUGAUAACGGAAUUGCCGAUUCAUACUAU
rnacentral:lncRNA from 1 species